rnacentral:rRNA from 1 species
UGGGGUGACUGCGUACCUUUUGUAUAAUGGGUCAGCGACUUAUAUUCUGUAGCAAGGUUAACCGAAUAGGGGAGCCGGAGGGAAACCGAGUCUUAAUUGGGCGUUAAGUUGCAGGGUAUAGACCCGAAACCCGGUGAUCUAGCCAUGGGCAGGUUGAAGGUUGGGUAACACUAACUGGAGGACCGAACCGACUAAUGUUGAAAAAUUAGCGGAUGACCUGUGGCUGGGGGUGAAAGGCCAAUCAAACCGGGAGAUAGCUGGUUCUCCCCGAAAGCUAUUUAGGUAGCGCCUCGUGAAUUCAUCUCCGGGGGUAGAGCACUGUUUCGGCUAGGGGGCCAUCCCGGCUUACCAACCCGAUGCAAACUGCGAAUACCGGAGAAUGUUAUCACGGGAGACACACGGCGGGUGCUAACGUCCGUCGUGAAGAGGGAAACAACCCAGACCGCCAGCUAAGGUCCCAAAGUCAUGGUUAAGUGGGAAACGAUGUGGGAAGGCCCAGACAGCCAGGAUGUUGGCUUAGAAGCAGCCAUCAUUUAAAGAAAGCGUAAUAGCUCACUGGUCGAGUCGGCCUGCGCGGAAGAUGUAACGGGGCUAAACCAUGCACCGAAGCUGCGGCAGCGACACUCAGGUGUUGUUGGGUAGGGGAGCGUUCUGUAAGCCUGUGAAGGUGGCCUGUGAGGGUUGCUGGAGGUAUCAGAAGUGCGAAUGCUGACAUAAGUAACGAUAAAGCGGGUGAAAAGCCCGCUCGCCGGAAGACCAAGGGUUCCUGUCCAACGUUAAUCGGGGCAGGGUGAGUCGACCCCUAAGGCGAGGCCGAAAGGCGUAGUCGAUGGGAAACGGGUUAAUAUUCCCGUACUUGGUGUUACUGCGAAGGGGGGACGGAGAAGGCUAUGUUGGCCGGGCGACGGUUGUCCCGGUUUAAGCGUGUAGGCUGGUUUUCCAGGCAAAUCCGGAAAAUCAAGGCUGAGGCGUGACGACGAGGCACUACGGUGCUGAAGCAACAAAUGCCCUGCUUCCAGGAAAAGCCUCUAAGCAUCAGGUAACAUCAAAUCGUACCCCAAACCGACACAGGUGGUCAGGUAGAGAAUACCAAGGCGCUUGAGAGAACUCGGGUGAAGGAACUAGGCAAAAUGGUGCCGUAACU